rnacentral:pre_miRNA from 1 species
GAGACACCCUUCUGGGGCAAGACUUGCUUCAGUGGGUCUUUGGUGCUCACUGAGUCUGCCCCCUGAGUGUGUCCAU